ensembl:snoRNA small nucleolar RNA, C/D box 70
UUCAUUGUUGUCAAUGAUGUAUUCUUGUUGGAACUGAAUAUAUAUGAUCUAACUCAAAUAUUCGUCACUACCACUGAGACAACAAUGAA